rnacentral:rRNA from 1 species
AUACGGAGGAUCCGAGCGUUAUCCGGAUUUAUUGGGUUUAAAGGGAGCGUAGGCGGACGCUUAAGUCAGUUGUGAAAGUUUGCGGCUCAACCGUAAAAUUGCAGUUGAUACUGGGUGUCUUGAGUACAGUAGAGGCAGGCGGAAUUCGUGGUGUAGCGGGGAAAUGCUUAGAUAUCACGAAGAACUCCGAUUGCGAAGGCAGCCUGCUGGACUGUAACUGACGCUGAUGCUCGAAAGUGUGGGUAUCAAACAGGAUUAGAUACCCUGGUAGUCCACACAGUAAACGAUGAAUACUCGCUGUUUGCGAUAUACAGUAAGCGGCCAAGCGAAAGCGUUAAGUAAUCCACAUGGGGAGUACGCCGGCAACGGUGAAACUCAAAGGAAUUGGCGGGG